rnacentral:rRNA from 1 species
CCUGCCUUCAAGAUGGGGACAACAGACGGAAACGACUGCUAAUACCGCAUACGACCUAUGGUUGGCAUCAAUCAUAGGUGAAAGGUGGCCUCUACAUGUAAGCUAUCGUUGUAGGAGGGGAUUGCGUCUGAUUAGCUAGUUGGAGGGGUAACGGCCCACCAAGGCGAUGAUCAGUAGCCGGUCUGAGAGGAUGAACGGCCACAUUGGGACUGAGAUACGGCCCAGACUCCUACGGGAGGCAGCAGCC